rnacentral:rRNA from 1 species
GACGAACCGUGCAAACGUUGUUCGGAAUCACUGGGCUUAAAGGGCGCGUAGGCGGAUGAGCAAGUCUGUGGUGAAAUCCCCCGGCUUAACCGGGGAACUGCCGUGGAUACUGCGGAACUAGAGGACGGUAGAGGCGUGUGGAAUUCCGGGUGUAGUGGUGAAAUGCGUAGAGAUCCGGAAGAACACCAGUGGCGAAGGCGGCCCGCUGGGCAGUGGCUGACGCUGAAGCGCGACAGCGUGGGGAGCAAACAGG